rnacentral:rRNA from 1 species
AACGAACGCUGGCGGCAGGCCUAACACAUGCAAGUCGAACGCUCCAGCAAUGGAGAGUGGCAGACGGGUGAGUAACGCGUGGGAACCUUCCCUAUGGUUCGGAAUAGCUCAGGGAAACUUGAGGUAAUACCGGGAUAAGCCCUUCGGGGAAAGAUUUAUCGCCAUUGGAUGGGCCCGCGUAGGAUUAGCUAGUUGGUGAGGUAACGGCUCACCAAGGCGACGAUCCUUAGCUGGUCUGAGAGGAUAGAUCAGCCACAACUGGGACUGAGACACGGCCCA